rnacentral:rRNA from 1 species
AUUGAACGCUGGCGGCAGGCCUAACACAUGCAAGUCGAACGAGUGGCGGACGGGUGAGUAACGCCUGGGAAACUGCCCGUUGUAGGGGGAUAACCACUUGACACGGUAGCCAAUUCCGCCUACCCUCGGAUGUGCCCAGAUGGGAUUAGCUAGUGGGUGGGGUAACGGCUCACCUAGGCGACGAUCCCUAGCUGGCCUGAGAGGAUGACCAGCCACACUGGAACUGAGACACGGUCCAGACUCCUACGGGAGGCAGCAGUGGGGAAUAUUGCACAAUGGGCGCAAGCCUGAUGCAGCCAUGCCGCGUGUAGGAAAAAGGCCUUCGGGUUGUAAAGUACUUUCAGCGAGGAGGCGUUACUCGCAGAAGAAGCACCGGCUAACUCCGUGCCAGCAGCCGCGGUAAUUC